rnacentral:rRNA from 1 species
UUAAGUGAAUAAGGGCGCACGGUGGAUGCCUUGGCACUAGGAGCCGAUGAAGGACGGGACUAACACCGAUAUGCUUUGGGGAGCUGUACGUAAGCUAUGAUCCAGAGAUUUCCGAAUGGGGGAACCCAGCAUCUUUAAUAGGAUGUUACGAUUGUGUGAAUACAUAGCACAUUCGAGGUAGACGCAGAGAACUGAAACAUCUAAGUACCUGCAGGAAGAGAAAGAAAAUUCGAUUCCCUGAGUAGCGGCGAGCGAAACGGGAAAAGCCCAAACCAGCAAGCUUGCUUGUUGGGGUUGUAGGACUCCAAUAUGGUAGUUCUUUCAGAUAGUCGAAUGACUUGGAAAAGUCAGUCAAAGAGGGUAAAAACCCCGUAGACGAAAUGUGGAAGACACCUAGGAGGAUCCUGAGUACGGCGGAACACGAGAAAUUCCGUCGGAAUCCGGGAGGACCAUCUCCCAAGGCUAAAUACUCCCUAGUGACCGAUAGUGAACCAGUACCGUGAGGGAAAGGUGAAAAGCACCCCGGAAGGGGAGUGAAAUAGAACCUGAAACCGUGUGCCUACAACAAGUCAAAGCCCGUUAAUGGGUGAUGGCGUGCCUUUUGUAGAAUGAACCGGCGAGUUACGAUUGCAUGCGAGGUUAAGUUGAAGAGACGGAGCCGCAGCGAAAGCGAGUCUGAAUAGGGCGUUUGAGUAUGUAGUCGUAGACCCGAAACCAUGUGAUCUACCCAUGUCCAGGUUGAAGGUGCGGUAAAACGCACUGGAGGACCGAACCCACGUACGUUGAAAAGUGCGGGGAUGAGGUGUGGGUAGCGGAGAAAUUCCAAACGAACUUGGAGAUAGCUGGUUCUCUCCGAAAUAGCUUUAGGGCUAGCCUCGGAAUUGAGAAUGAUGGAGGUAGAGCACUGUUUGGACUAGGGGCCCAUCUCGGGUUACCGAAUUCAGAUAAACUCCGAAUGCCAUUCAUUCAUAUCCGGGAGUCAGACUGUGAGUGAUAAGAUCCAUAGUCGAAAGGGAAACAGCCCAGACCACCAGCUAAGGUCCCAAAAUAUAUGUUAAGUGGAAAAGGAUGUGGGGUUGCACAGACAACUAGGAUGUUGGCUUAGAAGCAGCCAUCAUUUAAAGAGUGCGUAAUAGCUCACUAGUCGAGUGACCCUGCGCCGAAAAUGUACCGGGGCUAAACAUAUUACCGAAGCUGUGGAGUACACCUUUAGGUGUAUUGGUAGGAGAGCGUUCUAAGGGCGUCGAAGGCAGAUCGUGAGGACUGCUGGAGCGCUUAGAAGUGAGAAUGCCGGUAUGAGUAGCGAAAGACAGGUGAGAAUCCUGUCCACCGAAUGACUAAGGUUUCCUGGGGAAGGCUCGUCCGCCCAGGGUUAGUCGGGACCUAAGCCGAGGCCGACAGGCGUAGGCGAUGGAUAACAGGUUGAUAUUCCUGUACCCGUUGUUUUUGUUUGAGCAAUGGAGGGACGCAGGAGGCUAAGGAAUGCAGACGAUCGGAAAUGUCUGUCCAAGCAGUAAGUCUGAAGAGGAGUCAAAUGCUUCUUUUCUUAAGGACAAGCUGUGAUGGGGAGGGAAAUAAUAGUACCGAAGUUCCUGAUGUCACACUGCCGAGAAAAGCUUCUAGUGAGAAAACAGCGGCCCGUACCGCAAACCGACACAGGUAGUCGAGGAGAGAAUCCUAAGGUGAGCGAGAGAACUCUCGUUAAGGAACUCGGCAAAAUGACCCCGUAACUUCGGGAGAAGGGGUGCUGAUCAUACGAUCAGCCGCAGUGAAUAGGCCCAAGCGACUGUUUAUCAAAAACACAGGUCUCUGCAAAAUCGUAAGAUGAAGUAUAGGGGCUGACGCCUGCCCGGUGCUGGAAGGUUAAGAGGAGUGCUUAGCGCAAGCGAAGGUACGAAUUGAAGCCCCAGUAAACGGCGGCCGUAACUAUAACGGUCCUAAGGUAGCGAAAUUCCUUGUCGGGUAAGUUCCGACCCGCACGAAAGGCGUAACGAUUUGGGCACUGUCUCAACGAGAGACUCGGUGAAAUUUUAGUACCUGUGAAGAUGCAGGUUACCCGCGACAGGACGGAAAGACCCCAUGGAGCUUUACUGUAGUUUGAUAUUGAGUGUCUGUACCGCAUGUACAGGAUAGGUAGGAGCCGUAGAAAUCGGAACGCUAGUUUCGAUGGAGGCGCUGGUGGGAUACUACCCCUGCGUUAUGGCCACUCUAACCCGCACCACUAAUCGUGGUGGGAGACAGUGUCAGAUGGGCAGUUUGACUGGGGCGGUCGCCUCCUAAAAGGGAACGGAGGCGCCCAAAGGUUCCCUCAGAAUGGUUGGAAAUCAUUCGAAGAGUGUAAAGGCAGAAGGGAGCUUGACUGCGAGACCAACAAGUCGAGCAGGGACGAAAGUCGGGCUUAGUGAUCCGGUGGUUCCGCAUGGAAGGGCCAUCGCUCAACGGAUAAAAGCUACCCUGGGGAUAACAGGCUUAUCUCCCCCAAGAGUCCACAUCGACGGGGAGGUUUGGCACCUCGAUGUCGGCUCGUCGCAUCCUGGGGCUGUAGUCGGUCCCAAGGGUUGGGCUGUUCGCCCAUUAAAGCGGCACGCGAGCUGGGUUCAGAACGUCGUGAGACAGUUCGGUCCCUAUCCGUCGCGGGCGUUGGAAAUUUGAGAGGAGCUGUCCUUAGUACGAGAGGACCGGGAUGGACUUACCGCUGGUGUACCAGUUGUUCUGCCAAGGGCAUUGCUGGGUAGCUAUGUAGGGAAGGGAUAAACGCUGAAAGCAUCUAAGUGUGAAGCCCACCUCAAGAUGAGAUUUCCCAUUUCUUUAAGAAAGUAAGAUCCCUGAGAGAUGAUCAGGUAGAUAGGUCAGGAGUGGAAGUACAGUGAUGUAUGGAGCGGACUGAUACUAAUCGAUCGAGGACUUAACCAA